rnacentral:rRNA from 1 species
AUUGAACGCUGGCGGCAGGCCUAACACAUGCAAGUCGAGCGGAUGAAGGGAGCUUGCUCCUGGAUUCAGCGGCGGACGGGUGAGUAAUGCCUAGGAAUCUGCCUGGUAGUGGGGGAUAACGUCCGGAAACGGGCGCUAAUACCGCAUACGUCCUGAGGGAGAAAGUGGGGGAUCUUCGGACCUCACGCUAUCAGAUGAGCCUAGGUCGGAUUAGCUAGUUGGUGGCGUAAAGGCCUACCAAGGCGACGAUCCGUAACUGGUCUGAGAGGAUGAUCAGUCACACUGGAACUGAGACACGGUCCAGACUCCUACGGGAGGCAGCAGUGGGGAAUAUUGGACAAUGGGCGAAAGCCUGAUCCAGCCAUGCCGCGUGUGUGAAGAAGGUCUUCGGAUUGUAAAGCACUUUAAGUUGGGAGGAAGGGCAGUAAGUUAAUACCUUGCUGUUUUGACGUUACCAACAGAAUAAGCACCGGCUAACUUCGUG